rnacentral:piRNA from 1 species
UAGCAGUGUUGUUUCUGAGGCAUUCUGCCGU